rnacentral:rRNA from 1 species
UACGUAGGGGGCAAGCGUUGUCCGGAAUCAUUGGGCGUAAAGAGCGUGUAGGCGGCUUGGUAAGUCCGCUGUGAAAGUCCAGGGCUCAACCCUGGAAUGCCGGUGGAUACUGUCGGGCUAGAGUCCGGAAUGGGCGAGUGGAAUUCCUGGUGUAGCGGUGAAAUGCGCAGAUAUCAGGAGGAACACCAAUGGCGAAGGCGGGUCUCUGGGCCGAUAUUGACGCUGAGGAGCGAAAGCGUGGGGAGCGAACAGG